rnacentral:rRNA from 1 species
AUUGAACGCUGGCGGCAGGCCUAACACAUGCAAGUCGAGCGGAUGAAGGGAGCUUGCUCCUGGAUUCAGCGGCGGACGGGUGAGUAAUGCCUAGGAAUCUGCCUGGUAGUGGGGGAUAACGUCCGGAAACGGGCGCUAAUACCGCCUACGUCCUGAGGGAGAAAGUGGGGGGUCUUCGGACCUCACGCUAUCAUAUGAGCCUAGGUCGGAUUAGCUAGUUGGUGGGGUAAAGGCCUACCAAGGCGACGAUCCGUAACUGGUCUGAGAGGAUGAUCAGUCACACUGGAACUGGAACACGGUCCAGACGACUACGGGAGGCAGCAGUGGGGAAUAUUGGACAAUGGGCGAAAGCCUGAUCCAGCCAUGCCGCGUGUGAGAAGAAGGUCUUCGGAUUGGAAAGCACGUUAAGGUGGGAGGAAGGGCAGUAAGUUAAUACCUUGCUGUUUUGACGUUACCAACAGAAUAAGCACCGGCUAACUUCGUG